rnacentral:lncRNA from 1 species
GGUGACUGUUACCAGGGAGCAGACCCUCUGGAAAAAGAACAGAGUCUUUACACCCAUCCUCUCACAGCCUGCCCAUUACACGGUUUAACCUGGAGACAUGACAGACAUGGAGAGAUCACUGCCUUAAUGGUGAAAAAGAGGGAAAACCUCAGAUGGGCUGUGCGCGACCACUAAGGAGAGAAUGGAGAGCUUGGAGACAUUGAGGGUCAUCAAGCUUUCUGAGACACUGUGAAGACACUGUCA